GUACGGGAAGGUGCAACAUAAAACAUAUUUACGACCUUGCUCGAUAUCUUCCUCCUUCUGCCGGUUUCGUUCGUGGAUUUGGUAGCCAGCCUUCUACCGAGCGUCAUAAAACAGUGUCCCAUCAUCUGGAUAUCGUGCCACAGUAAACGGUGACGAUGACGACGACGACGAUCAAGAGUGAUUUUUGACAAUUUUCACCGGAUGCUUGGUAAACAACAGAGUUCGAAGUCGUUAAAAAAAAGAAGUACCUCCAUGUUUGGGUACUUCUCGUCCCGCUCUCCAAACGAAUCUGUUUUAACUGUCCUGCCAGUUGUGAUUUUCG